rnacentral:rRNA from 1 species
AUACGGAGGAUCCGAGCGUUAUCCGGAUUUAUUGGGUUUAAAGGGUGCGCAGGCGGCCAUUUAAGUCAGCGGUUAAAUCGUGGGGCUCAACCCCAUUCUGCCGUUGAUACUGGGUGGCUUGAUUGCGGUCGAGGUUGGCGGAAUUCGUUGUGUAGCGGUGAAAUGCAUAGAUAUGACGAAGAACACCGAUUGCGUAGGCAACUGACCAGAUCGCAAAUGACGCUCAUGCACGAAAGUGCGGGGAUCGAACAGUAUUAGAUACCCUGGUAGUCCGCACAGUAAACGAUGAAUACUUGUUUUCGGCGAUAUAAUGUCGGAGGCAAAGCGAAAGCGAUAAGUAUUCCACCUGGGAAGUACGCCGGCAACGGUGAAACUCAAAGGAAUUGACGGGG